rnacentral:rRNA from 1 species
UGGGGAAUUUUGGACAAUGGGCGAAAGCCUGAUCCAGCAAUGCCGCGUGUGUGAAGAAGGCCUUCGGGUUGUAAAGCACUUUUGUCCGGAAAGAAAUCCUUGGCUCUAAUACAGUCGGGGGAUGACGGUACCGGAAGAAUAAGCACCGGCUAACUACGUGCCAGCAGCCGCGGUAAUACGUAGGGUGCAAGCGUUAAUCGGAAUUACUGGGCGUAAAGCGUGCGCAGGCGGUUUGUUAAGACCGAUGUGAAAUCCCCGGGCUCAACCUGGGAACUGCAUUGGUGACUGGCAGGCUAGAGUAUGGCAGAGGGGGGUAGAAUUCCACGUGUAGCAGUGAAAUGCGUAGAGAUGUGGAGGAAUACCGAUGGCGAAGGCAGCCCCCUGGGCCAAUACUGACGCUCAUGCACGAAAGCGUGGGGAGCAAACAGGAUUAGAUACCCUGGUAGUCCACGCCCUAAACGAUGUCAACUAGUUGUUGGGGAUUCAUUUCCUUAGUAACGUAGCUAACGCGUGAAGUUGACCGCCUGGGGAGUACGGUCGCAAGAUUAAAACUCAAAGGAAUUGACGGGG